GGAUGAAUAUUGCACAAUGGGCGAAAGCCUGAUGCAGCAACGCCGCGUGCGGGACGAAGGCCUUCGGGUCGUAAACCGCUUUUCUGGGGAAAGAGCAAGGACGGUACCUCAGGAAUAAGUCUCGGCUAACUACGUGCCAGCAGCCGCGGUAAAACGUAGGAGGCGAGCGUUAUCCGGAUUUACUGGGCGUAAAGCGCACGCAGGCGGCUCCGUGAGUCGGACGUGAAAGCUCUCGGCUUAACCGGGAGAG
rnacentral:rRNA from 1 species